rnacentral:rRNA from 1 species
UACGUAGGGUGCGAGCGUUGUCCGGAAUUACUAGGCGUAAAGAGCUCGUAGGCGGUUUGUCGCGUCGUCUGUGAAAUUCUGCAACUCAAUUGUAGGCGUGCAGGCGAUACGGGCAGACUUGAGUACUACAGGGGGAGACUGGAAUUCCUGGUGUAGCGGUGGAAUGCGCAGAUAUCAGGAGGAACACCGGUGGCGAAGGCGGGUCUCUGGGCAGUAACUGACGCUGAGGAGCGAAAGCGUGGGGAGCGAACAGG